GAUGAACGCUGGCGGCGUGCCUAAUACAUGCAAGUCGAGCGAACAGAUGAGGAGCUUGCUCCUCUGACGUUAGCGGCGGAAGGGUGAGUAACACGUGGAUAACCUACCUAUAAGACUGGGAUAACUUCGGGAAACCGGAGCUAAUACCGGAUAAUAUAUUGAACCGCAUGGUUCAAUAGUGAAAGACGGUUUUGCUGUCACUUAUAGAUGGAUCCGCGCCGCAUUAGCUAGUUGGUAAGGUAACGGCUUACCAAGGCAACGAUGCGUAGCCGACCUGAGAGGGUGUUCGGCCACACUGGAACUGAGAGACGGUCCAGACUCCUACGGGUGGCAGCAGUAGGUAAUGUUCCGCAAUGGGCGAAAGCCUGACGGAGCAACGCCGCGUGAGUGAUGAAGGUCUACGGAUCGUAAAACUCUGUUAUUAGGGAAGACCAAAUGUGUAAGUAACUAUGCACGUCGUGACGGUACCUAAUCAGAAAGACAAGGCUAACUACUUG
rnacentral:rRNA from 1 species